rnacentral:lncRNA from 1 species
AUUAUUACAUGGAUGUAUAAAAAUUAAAUAUAUAGUUACAUAUGAAAACACACAUGUUAAAUUUUAUUUUAUUUUUAAGGAUUAUGAAGAAGAAAUUUUUAGAUUAAAAAAAAUAAUCAAGGAAAGGGAAGAUGAAAAUAUGGAAUUAAGGGUUAACUUCCGAGAAUUACUGGAAGAAAAAUGCAAAUUAGAGGAAGAUAUUGAAAAUUAUGAGAAGGCUAUCUACGAAAUUAACGAAAAUACAACUGUGUUGAAAGAAGCACAUCAGGAAGAAGUAAAGGAAAUUCAACAAGAAAACUGGAAUCUUUAUUUACAGAUAGAUUUGCUUAAGGAAAACUUAAAUAUUUUGGAAGAAAAAUGUAAUCAGUUACAGGAUUUUAAUGAAGAUAAAACUAAAAACAUUGAUAUUUUAAAUAAAGAAGUAUGGGACUUAAAGGUAAAAACAAAUAAAUAAAUAAAUAAAUAAAUAAACAAAUAAAUAUAUAUAUAUAUACGUA